UGGGGGGCAGGGUAGACGAGUGGCGGAAACCCUUAGGCUCAGAGAAGCAUCGAGAACCGGAAGGAGACCAUGGGAGGAAGGUAAAACAAGCAGCCGCUGCGCGACCCAGCCCCACGCCCCUCCCCACAGCGUCUCCCAGUUUCCUCACUUGGUAUUGAGGCGACGGCUCUCGCGAGAACUUCGUGGCUGACUAACCGAAGCAGUAGCUCUGCAAUGACUUAAGAGCAGUUUUGGGCGCUUUUCCUCUCGGGGUCCCGCCCCCAAAAUCCACAAAUUCUCGCGAGACGCAGUGAGGCACCGGCUCCAACUGGGGCGGGCUACUGCCAGGAAAGCACCGCCCCUGAAUGUUUCAGCCGGUGGUUGGAAGAGGAAAUGGAAUUCCCCGGACUGCACCUGUUGAUUUGUGCUGGUACCUGGAAGAGAUGUAACACCUGAUCAUGGGACAUCAAGUGACUGUGUGAAUCAAAUUGCGCAUCAUGAAUUGGUGUUGACUCACCAAACUGUACAACUGAAUGAGCACACGAACAGUGCACUACAUAUGGGACUGGAACCAUGAAUGAGCCAGUGACUAGACUGCUAUAGUACCUGCCUCUAUUCCUUCAACACUUCUCCCUCAAUGCACAUAGAUUGUCAUCAUAAGGAGUUCCCUCUGACCAGUUAAUGGAAGAGAAAAAAGUAUGGAUCUUGUGGAUAUCCUAACAAAUCUCUGGCCAUUGGACCCCUAGAAACCUGUGGCAAGUCCUGGAAGUUUUUCAAGGACCUUUCUUACCAAAACAUGUAGAAUGCUGCCUACUUCUGCUCAUCAGUUUUAUUUAAUAUAAUUUCAUUACUAUAAUGGAUCAGUGUGAUAUUCUAUGGAAUAACAAGAUCAUCAAGGUCCCUUCAUACCAGAUAGAGAACAGGAGAGUUGAUGUAGCCUGAGACAAGACAGUAAGGACUUACUGUUGUCCUUCCUAGAGACACAUGUGAUGAACUCUUGGGACAUGUUUCACUACUUGUGGAUCCUAGUAUUUCCUUGCUCAAUAUUCAAAAGAAAUAGGUCUGGUAUCUCUAGGAGUAUCAAAUGAAGAUGUACAGAAACUAUACAUGCAUCUACAGACGUCAAAGGCCCCACAGUAGGGCCACCUUCACACCAGAUUACAAGAGCCUCGGCACCCGCCCGUUCCCGUGUACGUCACUCGUCCGCCGCCAAU